AGAGUUUGAUCCUGGCUCAGAACGAACGCUGGCGGCAGGCCUCAAACAUGCAAGUCUAGGGGGUGUAGCAAUACAUCACCGGCGGACGGGUGCGUAACGCGUGGGAAUAUACCUAUUGGUUCGGAACAACACAGGGAAACUUGUGCUAAUACCGAAUGUGCCCUUACGGGGAAAGAUUUAUCGCCAAUGGAUUAGCCCGCGUCCGAUUAGCUAGUUGGUGAGGUAACGGCUCACCAAGGCUCCGAUCGGUAGCUGUUCUGAGAGGAAGAUCAGCCACACUGGGACUGAGACACGGCCCAGACUCCUACGGGAGGCAGCAGUUGGGAAUCUUGGACAAUGGGGGAAACCCUGAUCCAGCCAUGCCGCGUGAGUGAUGAAGGCCUUCGGGUUGUAAAACUCUUUCGACGGGGACGAUAAUGACGGUACCCGUAGAAGAAGCUCCGGCUAACUUCGUGCCAGCAGCCGCGGUAAUACGAAGGGGGCUAGCGUUGUUCGGAAUUACUGGGCGUAAAGCGCGCGCAGGCGGUCUUCCAAGUCAGUGGUGAAAGCCCGGAGCUCAACUCCGGAACUGCCAUUGAAACUGUAAGACUUGAGGACGAGAGAGGUGAGUGGAAUUCCCAGUGUAGAGGUGAAAUUCGUAGAUAUUGGGAAGAACACCGGUGGCGAAGGCGGCUCACUGGCUCGUAUCUGACGCUCAGGCGCGACAGCGUGGGGAUCAAACAGGAUUAGAUACCCUGGUAGUCCACGCCGUAAACGAUGAGUGCUAGACGUUGAAAUGCCUAGGGUUUCAGUGUCGCAGCUAACGCAUUAAGCAAUCCGCGUGGGGAGUACGGCCGCUAGGUUGAAACUCAAAGGAAUUGACGG
rnacentral:rRNA from 1 species